GUAGGAGUAGCGUCAAGUCAUCAUGGCCUUUAUGUCCAGGGCUACACACGUGCUACAAUGGUCGGUACAAAGGGCUGCAAACCCGCGAGGGGAGCUAAUCCCAAAAAGCCGGCCUCAGUUCGGAUUGCAGUCUGCAACUCGACUGCUUGAAGGUGGAAUCGCUAGUAAUCGCGUAUCAGAACGACGCGGUGAAUACGUUCCCGGGCCUUGUACACACCGCCCGUCACAUCACGAAAGUCAGCUGUACCCGAAGCCGGUGGGCCAACCCGCAAGGGAGGCAGCCGUCCACGGUGUGGUUGGCGAUUGGGGUGAAGUCGUACAGGGUAACCCGGGCGCGCUCGAGCCAGGGGCGAUUUCUGCAGAU
rnacentral:rRNA from 1 species